UCAUGGCAAGGAUGACGAUUCAAUUAGAUGUGUGAAAGGUUUAGUCCUUCCUGAACUUAAAUUUUUGAGGCAUUUAUUAUUUGUCUGACUUGCCGGAA